AGUCGAGAAUCUUUCACAAUGGGGGCAACCCUGAUGGAGCGACGCCGCGUGGAGGAUUAAGGUCUUCGGAUUGUAAACUCCUGUCAUGCGAGAGCAAAGCCUGCAAAGGUCUGAUAGUAUCGCAAGAGGAAGAGACGGCUAACUCUGUGCCAGCAGCCGCGGUAAUACAGAGGUCUCAAGCGUUGUUCGGAAUCACUGGGCGUAAAGGGUGCGUAGGUGGCGCGGAAAGUCAGAUGUGAAAUCCGGGGGCUCAACCCCCGAAUUGCAUCCGAUACUACCGUGCUAGAGAACUGAAGGGGGGGCUGGAAUUCUCGGUGUAGCAGUGAAAUGCGUAGAUAUCGAGAGGAACACUAGUGGCGAAGGCGAGACCCUGGGCAGUAUCUGACACUGAGGCACGAAGGCCAGGGGAGCGAACGGGAUUAGAUACCCCGGUAGUCCUGGCAGUAAACGGUGCGCGUUUGGUGUGGGGUGGUUCGACCCUCCCUGUGCCGUAGUUAACACGUUAAACGCGCCGCCUGGGAAGUACGGUCGCAAGAUUAAAACUCAAAGAAAUUGACGGGGACCCGCACAAGCGGUGGAGUAUGUGGCUUAAUUCGAUGCAACGCGAAGAACCUUACCUGGGCUCGACAUGCAUUGUGUCUUCAAUGAAAGUUGAAUAGCGUAGCAAUACGCGCUUUGCACAGGUGCUGCAUGGCUGUCGUCAGCUCGUGUCGUGAGAUGUUGGGUUAAGUCCCGCAACGAGCGCAACCCCUAUGGUUUGUUGCCACCGGAGAAAUCCGCGCACUCGAGCCAGACUGCCCAGAUCAACUGGGAGGAAGGUGGGGAUGACGUCAAGUCCGUAUGGCCCUUACGCCCAGGGCUGCACACGUACUACAAUGCUCAGCACAAUGUGAACCGAUGCCGCGAGGUGGAGGAAAUCAACAAAGCUGGGCUCAGUUCAGAUUGAAGGCUGCAACUCGCCUUCAUGAAGUUGGAAUCGCUAGUAAUGGCGCAUCAGCUACGGCGCCGUGAAUACGUUCCCGGGUCUUGUACACACCGCCCGUCACAUCAUGGAAGCUGGUUUCGCCCGAAGCGCUCGCGCCAACCACAAGGGGGCAAAGCUCUAAGGCAAGACUGGUGACUGGGAUG
rnacentral:rRNA from 1 species